GACGAACGCUGGCGGCGCGCCUAACACAUGCAAGUCGAACGGAGUCAAGAGGAGCUUGCUUUUCUUGACUUAGUGGCGAACGGGUGAGUAACGCGUGAGUAACCUGCCCUGGAGUGGGGGACAACAGUUGGAAACGACUGCUAAUACCGCAUAAGCCCACGGAUCCGCAUGGAUCUGCGGGAAAAGGAUUUAUUCGCUUCAGGAUGGACUCGCGUCCAAUUAGCUAGUUGGUGAGGUAACGGCCCACCAAGGCGACGAUUGGUAGCCGGACUGAGAGGUUGAACGGCCACAUUGGGACUGAGACACGGCCCAGACUCCUACGGGAGGCAGCAGUGGGGGAUAGUGCACAAUGGGGGAAACCCUGAUGCAGCGACGCCGCGUGGAGGAAGAAGGUUUUCGGAUUGUAAACUCCUGUCGUUAGGGACGAUAAUGACGGUACCUAACAAGAAAGCACCGGCUAACUACGUG
rnacentral:rRNA from 1 species